GACGAACGCUGGCGGCGUGCUUAACACAUGCAAGUCCCGGGGGCUCCUUCGGCGGCUAUCGGCGAACGGGUGCGUAACACGUUAGCUACCUCCCCCUCCGCGGGGGCUAGCCGGCCCAACGGCCGGGUAAUACUGCAUACGUUCUUCGCGGGGCAUCCCGGCAAGAAGAAACCUCCGGGGAGGAGGGAGGGGCUCGCGGCCUAUCCGCUAGUUGGCGGGUUGUCGGUCCACCAAGGCGGUGACGGGUGGCUGGCCUGAGAGGAUGGCCAGCCACAUGGGGGCGGAGAGAGGGCCCGGGCUCCGACGGGGGGCAGCAGUGGGGAAGGUUGCGGAAUGGCCUGACGGCUGACGCGGCGACGCCGGGUGGGGGAGGAAGGGCGUCGGCACGUAAACCCCUGUGGACCGGGGCGAACCGUGGGUUGAGGCCCACCUGACGGUACCGGGCGAGGAAGCACCGGCUAACUACGUG
rnacentral:rRNA from 1 species